rnacentral:rRNA from 1 species
UGUAAGCGUAUACCAAAGUUGUUGCAGUUAAAACGCUCGUAGUCGGAAUUUGGCAGUUCCGAAAGUGUGCACGUCGUGUGCGCACUUUGCGGGGACUGCUUUUGUGGUCUUGCGUAGGAUGAGGCACUUUCAUUAGUGAACGUCCUCACGCAACCACUCUUUACUGUGAGAAAAUCAGAGUGCUCAAAGCAGGCAUUUGCCGUGAAUGUAUUAGCAUGGAAUAAUAGAAUAGGACUCGGUUCUAUUUUGUUGGUUUGUUGGGACUGAGUAAUGAUUAAGAGGGACAGUUGGGGGCAUUUGUAUUCCGGCGCUAGAGGUGAAAUUCUUAGAUUGCCGGAAGACAAACUGCUGCGAAAGCGUCUGCCAAGGAUGUUUUCAUUGA